rnacentral:lncRNA from 1 species
AACGCAAAGGCAAGCUUACCCUCUUCAAACACCCAGAAACAAGCCAAGGCAAGCUCAUCCUCAAGUUGCCUAAAAACCCCAAAAACCCAAGCUUUAGCCUUUCCAAACCUAGAAACAACCCAAGUCAGCAGAGGCAAGCUCAUCCCUCCAGAAACACCCAAAACUAGGCCUUACCAUGCUGAUCCAAAUAUCCAAAUCCUUAAACACAAAACACAUCAGCAAUAAAAAGCCCAUCCUCAAGCUGUUAAGAAGUACGAGACUCAAGCAUAACCCUUCCCAUACUUUUCCCAAAACACCACCCAAUCAUUCCACAAUACACUGCCAUGAUCAUCAAUUCCUCAAGCAAAUCAUUCUCUCUUGCUAAACUUAUGGAUUCUUAGCUCCCACACCACAAGCCUCUCAUGCCAAGCCAUGUAGUAGAAAUCCAAAGAGCCGCCGAAAGAUCCGCUGGAAGAAGAACAGAGUAUUCCCUAAGACGUGCUUGUCACACCCCAAUUUUUUUUUUUCCCUUCUUAUGGAAGUGUAAGGUAAAGAAAAACUAAAACUAAAAAUUUACAUAACAAGAAACAUGAAAACUGAACAGAAACCUUUAUUUAAACCAAAGUAAUUUACAUUGUGAUUUUUCAAGCAAAAUAACAGGAAAGAAACACUCUCUUAAUUUAUUUAUUUUACAACAGACGUCCAAAACUAUCUACAACUCAUUCUUCUUGUUUCUAGGUCACAAAUUAAACCUCAAAUUCAAAACCUGCAAUGGAUUUAAUAAGGGGUGAGCACUACAAGCUCAUUAGGGGUCCUGUGUCUUAUGUGAUUAGUGAGAUUUAUAAAAUUAUGCAAUGCAUGAAUGAACUUCAAUUCUACCCAACCCGUUAAUUUAUAUAAUAGGGCAAGCAAAUCUGCAUGUCCCAUACCCUGCAUUUUGCCACUGUGAUUCUGAAUGCCCUAUUACACAAACUAACACCCGUAACAUUCCCAAAUUCGUAUUCCCCUUUUGCUAGUCGUCCUGUCUAAACCAUUGAUCUCCAAGUCCAAAUCACUCAAUCGACAAUUAUAUAGCCAAUAUCCUAUUCUAUUGUGCACACGGGCUCACCUGAACUUGGUCCCUACAAUGGUUAGACUCAACUACACAAAAGCUAUUUUUCUUUCUCAGAACCCAAGUGUAAUGAACUCAUUUACUCCAACGACCAAUGAUAAGCAAGUCAUGAUAAUGGAAAGGGGAUUUGAAGGCUAUAUUCACCUCUUCUCAACUAUUCAGCCCAGCUAAGACUUCUCAACAAAAAAGACCCCUGCACCUAUUUAAAAAAAAAAAGGGG